rnacentral:rRNA from 1 species
UCGGGAAUUUUGGGCAAUGGGCGAAAGCCUGACCCAGCAACGCCGCGUGAAGGAUGAAGUAUUUCGGUAUGUAAACUUCGAAAGAAUAGGAAGAAUAAAUGACGGUACUAUUUAUAAGGUCCGGCUAACUACGUGCCAGCAGCCGCGGUAAUACGUAGGGACCAAGCGUUGUUCGGAUUUACUGGGCGUAAAGGGCGCGUAGGCGGCGUGGUAAGUCAUCUGUGAAAUCUCCGAGCUUAACUCGGAACGGUCAGAUGAUACUGCUGUGCUAGAGUACAGAAAGGGCAAUCGGAAUUCUUGGUGUAGCGGUGAAAUGCGUAGAUAUCAAGAGGAACACCUGAGGCGAAGGCGGGUUGCUAGGCUGAUACUGACGCUGAGGCGCGAAAGCUAGGGUAGCAAACGGGGAUUAGAUACCCUCGUAGUCCCUGAGCGGGCUGGCAAGGCGCAU